rnacentral:rRNA from 1 species
CCUACGGGCGGCAGCAGUGAGGAAUAUUGGUCAAUGGACGAGAGUCUGAACCAGCCAAGUAGCGUGAAGGAUGACUGCCCUAUGGGUUGUAAACUUCUUUUAUCUGGGAAUAAAACGUUCCACGUGUGGGAUUUUGUAUGUACCAUAUGAAUAAGGAUCGGCUAACUCCGUGCCAGCAGCCGCGGUUAUACGGAGGUUCCGAGCGUUAUCCGGAUUUUUUGGGUUUAAAGGGAGCGUAGGUAGAUAGUUCAGUCAGUUGUGAAAGUUUCCGGCUCAACCGUAAAAUUGCAGUUGAAACUGGCGGUCUUGAGUACAGUAGAGGCAGGCGGAAUUCGUGGUGUAGCGGUGAAAUGCUUAGAUAUCACGAAGAACUCCGAUUGCGAAGGCAGUACACUGGACUGCAACUGACACUGAGGCUCGAAAGUGUGGGUAGCAAACAGGAUUAGAUACCCGAGUAGUC